UGCAUCCCUUUUUAUGACAAACUUCCGACUGGUUUAAAUUUGAGCUGUUGGACUUGUCCCUAAUCAACUCAUUUUUCCAAUGGCACUGCUUUCAAGGGCACUAGUCAUCUAAUUUACAGUAUUAUGAAUUUAAACCAAAAGGAUUCUUAUAUUUUACUUCUGGCUACAACUCUAAACUUGGCAUUUCCUAUAUUAAAAUAGUUGUUAGGAAAGUUUCUUAAGAAGAAGGAUAAGAGACAAACUCCAAGGAAGGGAGACAAGCCAGAUGCUUCUGAUUAUUUCCACUAAUUUAAUGAAGAUCCCUUGACUUGGUUGGGUCUAGUUGUAUUUGUUUAGCACUUACCAUGUGCUAGACAUUGUACUAAUCACUGGGGUAGAUAUAAUCCAUCCAUCCCUGUCCCACAUGGGGUUUAUAGUCUAAAGGGGAAGGGAUAGCAGGCAUUUCAUUCCCAUUUUACAGAUAAGGAAAAUGAGGCACCAAAGAAUUGUGACCUGCCCAAGGUUAUAUAGCAAAUAAAUAGUGGACCCAGGAUUAGAACCUAAAUCUCCUGACCCCAGGCUCCAUCCUCUUUCCAUUAGGCCAUGUUGCUUCUUUUUUUAUUCUCUCUUGAUUGUGGGACAGGGAAUGUGUCCAACCCAAUUAUUUGUAUCCACCCAGCACUUAGAACAGUGCUUGGCACAUAGUAAGUGCUUCACAAACAACACACUUAAUUGCAUUUAUUUUUGAUUAUUUCUAUACCACCUAACAGACUUGCUUUGUAAUUCUUUAGGAUUGAAGGCAAUGAGGCCUGAAAGAAAUGAGCCUUUUUUGAGGAAGGGGAUGGCUGGUGGGUUUACUUCAAAGAAGCUGUCAGAUGGAGUAAAGCAGCUGAAAAUUUCUCACAGCAGGCCUGUAUCAAAACCCACUGGGCCUGUCAAUGUUUUCUGGUGCAAUCCGUGCUUUCAGGGCCACGGAUCAACUCUGGUUUCACGCUUGGGUAAAGACAGCUUCAAGUGUGUCAGAAUCACUAGUUCUGACUCUUGUGUCCAGCCUACGCUCAGCCAGACCAUUCAUGUACUGGCCUCCACAUGCACCUCAAAACACACCCAACAGGACAAGAACUAGGUUCAUGUGACAUUUCUCAUCGGAGCCUAUAAAGUGAGUAAAUUGGAAGUGAUGUUAUAUUUGCAUUUUGGUUGUGAGGUCUUAGAUAUGUCACAGUGCUCGGCACAUAGUAAGCUCUUAACAAAUACCAACAUUAUUAUUUAGGCCCCAGCCACCUCUUUCAGAUGUAGAAAUCAGUCAAUCAAUCGUAUCCGAGAGCUUACUGUGUGCAGACACUGUACUAAAUGUUUGGGAGAGUACAGUAAACAAUAUCAUAGACAUUCCCUCCCCACAGCGAGUUUAUAGUCUAGAGGGGGAGACAGACAUUAAUAUAAAUAAAUAAUCGAGGCACUGGACAGAGUUUUUAUAUUUACCAGUUGCCCAGAAAGCCUGUGGCAUUUGCAAUUAGAACUUUCUUCUUGCAUUUAUGUAAAAGGAUAGUCCAGUGUUCCUCUUAGGAAUAAGAGAAGUUCUAGAAAUAGAAUGUCUUAAGCACUUACCAUGUGCAGAGCAUCAAGCACUUAGGGUGCUCUCCACACAG
rnacentral:lncRNA from 1 species